UCGGGAAUAUUGCGCAAUGGAGGGAACUCUGACGCAGUGACGCCGCGUAUAGGAAGAAGGUUUUCGGAUUGUAAACUAUUGACUACGGGGAAGAAAAAAGACAGUACUCGUAAAGAAAGCUCCGGCUAACUACGUGCCAGCAGCCGCGGUAAUACGUAGGGAGCAAGCGUUAUCCGGAAUUAUUGGGUGUAAAGGGUGCGUAGACGGGAGAAUAAGUUAGUUGUGAAAUCCCUCGGCUUAACUGAGGAACUGCAACUAAAACUGUUUUUCUUGAGUGCAGGAGAGGAAAGUGGAAUUCCUAGUGUAGCGGUGAAAUGCGUAGAUAUUAGGAGGAACACCAGUGGCGAAGGCGACUUUCUGGACUGUAACUGACGUUGAGGCACGAAAGUGUGGGGAGCAAACAGG
rnacentral:rRNA from 1 species